ACCAACAUCUCCUGAAGCGGCACCCGCGGUAUUAACUCAACCCCCUAUGAUAAUAUCGCAGGACAUCAUUGACGCUUUAUCGGAGCCUUGGGUUGAGGUGGAAAACGUUAUCAAUGGUAACGUUGAACAUCCCCCUCAACCCAAUUCACCGAUUAUUGAGGAAAAUGAUGUUCUGCCAGAGAGAUUGGUGGUGGUAGAGGCCGAAAAUAACAUCAUUCGGUCACCAUCACCACCACCGUCACCCAUGAUAUUAUCACAGGGCGUCAAUGACAUACAACAACCAUCUGGAUCCGAGGUUGAUGUGGAACUUAACAUCAUCACACCACCACUCCCUCAGCCUCCUGCAACGUUCGAUCCGAUGAGUAUUAUUACUCAAAAUGUCAUUGACGCACUGGCAGAGCCGUGGGUUGAAGAGAGGAGGCAGGGUGAAGAGAUGGAUGUUGAAAAUGACAUCAUUCAACCCUCUCAAUUGUCACCCAUUCUAGGGCAAAUAAAUAAUAGAGUUGAGAAUAGGGUGGAGGGUGGAGACGUUGAUGUCGAAAACGAAGACAAUGACGACGACGACAACAUCAUUCCACCCACUCCCCCUCACUCACGAUCAAGGAGGAGUCGGCGCCCUAGAAAGCCUCGUAGACGUGCGCGAAAGUCCCCAUUAAUAUUAAUUACUAAUAAUUAUAAUAUUAAUAUUAAUAUUAAUGAUGUUAAUAUUAAUAAUUAAUAUUAAUAAAUCCUAUUUCCGUCCUACACUCAUAUCAAGUACAUUUAAUUCGGACGCGAUUUUCCAAAUUUUAACAUCAUACUACCUACAACACGAUGGCAAGCAUGCUGCUCCUCCUCGAGGUCUUGCUGGAUACCUAUCUUUGAACACAAAAAAAAUAUAUAUUUAUAUAGUAUAAAUAAAAGUCUUUCAAAGAUAGUAACAGAAGGCAGCAAAUUUAUAAUUAAACUUUAUUAGUAACCUGUUUAAUUUAUUAUUUCAUAUUUUCAUAAGAAAAUGCAUCACUGUGAAAACUGUAAUAAACAAUUUACAACCCGUCAGUCACGACUACGCCACGAAAAGCUCUAUUGUCAAGUGGUCAAAAAACAGGAAAAUGGAGGACCGGCCGCCAAAAAACAGAAAAUAUGUCAUUCAACUGCUAGCAACAAUUAUAUGUGCGUUACAUGUAAUCAAGAAAUUGCUCCAAAGCUUAUUACGGCUCAUGAGAGAAGUAGACAGCAUAGAAAUAAUUGUCAAAGUACUCCCUUGGAGGAUGGGGUGUUUGCACUCAGCAGUGCAUUUAAAUCACGCACCGCUUCAUAUAGGAUUUGUGAUGAGGGCGAUUAUAUCGAUUUAAAUGAAUUUAUGGAUAAAAUUCACAAUAAAUUACUUGGACUUAUUGUUUCACAAAUUGAAAAAUUUAGUACAAUCAAAAUUAAUUUGGAAUUAUUUGGAUUGUAUACCAUUGAGUCAAAAAAUAUAUUUGAUGUAAAAUCUUUCAAUACUACUAACAGAAUUGUCACUUUAGGCACGAAUAUUAGGAAUAUGUUGCAUGACUUUCAAGAAGUUAUUAGUCAAAAAAUGAUGGAUUUUUUGGAACGAGAUUCAGGCUGGACACUUGUGAAAAUCUUACAUUUAGAAUUAAAUGUAAACUAUUACAAUCCAUUGAAAGCUUCAUCGUAUAUCCCACUACCGCCAAGCGUGAAAAUGAAGAGGGCAAUAGUUAAUGUUCAAAAUCAGGAUAUUCAUUGUUUUGGUUGGAGUGUCGUAGCAGCAGUGUGUCUACCUAUGGGACCAGAACAUUUACCCAGUUCAUAUCCACAUUGGUCGACACUUUUUAAUUUCCAAGGUAUUGAAUUUCCUGUAAAACUGGAUAGUAUUGCAAAAUUUGAAAGUCAAAAUAAUGUCUCACUUAAUGUUUACGGACUU